rnacentral:rRNA from 1 species
CCAAGGAGUCUAACAUGUGCGCGAGUUAUUGGGUUGCAAAACCUAAAGGCGUAAUGAACGUGAAGACUGGUUCAGCCAGUUGAUAUGGGAUCCCUGGCUUCGGCCGGGGCGCACCAUAGUCCCGUCUCACCUGCAUCGUCAGGGAGGCGGAGAUAGAGCGUACACGUUGGGACCCGAAAGAUGGUGAACUAUGCCUGAGCAGGACGAAGCCAGAGGAAACUCUGGUGGAGGUCCGAAACGGUUCUGACGUGCAAAUCGAUCGUCAGACUUGGGUAUAGGGGCGAAAGACUAAUCGAACCAUCUAGUAGCUGGUUCCCUCCGAAGUUUCCCUCAGGAUAGCUGGUGCUCGGAGUUACAGUUUUAUCCGGUAAAGCGAAUGAUUAGAGGCCUUGGGGACGAAAUGACCUCAACCUAUUCUCAAACUUUAAAUGGGUAAGAAGUCUGGCUUGCCUGACCGAAGCGCAGACAGCGAAUGUGAGUGCCAAGUGGGCCAUUUUU